rnacentral:tRNA from 1 species
UCCAGGGUAGCCUAGUGGACAUGGCAUCUAAGCGGAACACUGUGGGUUCAAUUCCCAUCCCUGGAC